rnacentral:rRNA from 1 species
CAGCAGCCACGGGAAUACAGAGGGUGCGAGCGUUAAUCGGAUUUACUGGGCGUAAAGCGUGCGUAGGCGGCUAAUUGAGUCGGAUGUGAAAUCCCCGAGCUUAACUUGGGAAUUGCAUUCGAUACUGGUUAGCUAGAGUGUGGGAGAGGAUGGUAGAAUUCCAGGUGUAGCGGUGAAAUGCGUAGAGAUCUGGAGGAAUACCGAUGGCGAAGGCAGCCAUCUGGCCUAACACUGACGCUGAGGUACGAAAGCAUGGGGAGCAAACAGGAUUAGAUACCCGGGUAGUCCCUGUCUCUUAUAC